rnacentral:rRNA from 1 species
UACGUAGGUGGCGAGCGUUGUCCGGAAUUACUGGGUGUAAAGCGCGUGUAGGCGGGAGGCCAAGUCUGCUGUGAAAUCGCCCGGCUCAACUGGGCGGGGUCGGUGGAAACUGGUCACCUGGAGGACGGUAGAGGCGAGUGGAAUUCCCGGUGUAGUGGUGAAAUGCGUAGAUAUCUGGAGGAACACCGGUGGCGAAGGCGGCUACCUGGCCCAACAUUGACACUGAGACCCGAGAGCGUGGGGAUCAAACAGG